GACGAACGCUGGCGGCGUGCUUAACACAUGCAAGUCGAACGGAAAGGCCCCUUUGGGGGUACUCGAGUGGCGAACGGGUGAGUAACACGUGAGUAACCUGCCCUUGACUUCGGGAUAACUUCAGGAAACUGGGGCUAAUACCGGAUAGGAAUCCUUGCUGCAUGGUGGGGGUUGGAAAGCUUCGGCGGUUUUGGAUGGAUUCGCGGCCUAUCAGCUUGUUGGUGGGGUAGGGGCUUACCAAGGCUUUGACGGGUAGCCGGCCUGGGAGGGCGACCGGCCACAUUGGGACUGAGAUACGGCCCAGACUCCUACGGGAGGCAGCAGGUGGGAAUAUUGCACAAUGGGCGGAAGCCUGAUGCAGCAACGCCGCGUGCGGGAUGACGGCCUUCGGGUUGUAAACCGCUUUCAGCAGGGGCGAAGCUUGUGGUGACGGUACCUGCAGAAGAAGCACCGGCUAACUACGUG
rnacentral:rRNA from 1 species